rnacentral:rRNA from 1 species
AACGAACGCUGGCGGCAGGCCUAACACAUGCAAGUCGAACGCUCGUAGCAAUACGGGAGUGGCAGACGGGUGAGUAACACGUGGGAGCCUUCCCUAUGGUUCGGAAUAGCUCAGGGAAACUUGGGGUAAUACCGGAUAAGCCCUUCGGGGAAAGGAUUUAUCGCCAUUGGAUGGGCCCGCGUCGGAUUAGCUAGUUGGUGAGGUAACGGCUCACCAAGGCAACGAUCCGUAGCUGGUCUGAGAGGAUGAUCAGCCACACUGGGACUGAGACACGGCCCAGACUCCUACGGGAGGCAGCAGUGGGGAAUAUUGGACAAUGGGCGCAAGCCUGAUCCAGCCAUGCCGCGUGAGUGACGAAGGUCUUCGGAUUGUAAAACUCUUUUGG